UACAGAGGUCUCAAGCGUUGUUCGGAUUCAUUGGGCGUAAAGAGCGUGUAGGCGGCCAGACAAGUCUGCUGUGAAAACUCGAGGCUCAACCUCGAGCUGUCGGUGGAAACUGUCUGGCUAGAGUCCGGAAGAGGAGAGUGGAAUUCCUGGUGUAGCGGUGAAAUGCGCAGAUAUCAGGAAGAACACCGGUGGCGAAGGCGGGUCUCUGGGCCGAUACUGACGCUGAGGAGCGAAAGCGUGGGGAGCGAACAGG
rnacentral:rRNA from 1 species